GAUGAACGCUGGCGGCGUGCCUAAUACAUGCAAGUCGAGCGAACAGACGAGGAGCUUGCUCCUCUGACGUUAGCGGCGGACGGGUGAGUAACACGUGGAUAACCUACCUAUAAGACUGGGAUAACUUCGGGAAACCGGAGCUAAUACCGGAUAAUAUAUUGCACCGCAUGGUUCAAUAGUGAAAGACGGUUUUGCUGUCACUUAUAGAUGGAUCCGCGCGGCAUUAGCUAGUUGGUAAGGUAACGGCUUACCAAGGCAACGAUGCGUACCCGACCUGAGAGGGUGAUCGGCCACACUAGAACUGAAACACGGUCCAGACUCCUACGGGAGGCAGCAGUAGGGAAUCUUCCGCAAUGGGCGAAAGCCUGACGGAGCAACGCCGCGUGAGUGAUGAAGGUCUUCGGAUCGUAAAACUCUGUUAUUAGGGAAGAACAAAUGUGUAAGUAACUAUGCACGUCUUGACGGUACCUAAUCAGAAAGCCACGGCUAACUACGUG
rnacentral:rRNA from 1 species